GGUAGCUAUGUUCGGAAAAGAUAACCGCUGAAAGCAUCUAAGCGGGAAACUUGCCUCAAGAUGAGAUCUCACUGGGAACUUGAUUCCCCUGAAGGGCCGUCGAAGACUACGACGUUGAUAGGCUGGGUGUGUAAGCGUUGUGAGGCGUUGAGCUAACCAGUACUAAUUGCCCGUGAGGCUUGACCAUAUAACACCCAAACA
rnacentral:rRNA from 1 species